rnacentral:lncRNA from 7 species
UUUUCAGAUAGACUGGCCCCUAUCCAUUCAGCCCUCACGUACAGAAAAUACCAAAUUCUGCCAAGAUGUACAGGGUAUUUUGCUUCAUGUGUGAAGAGAAGAGCGCUGCCUGGAGGAUUCUCAUGUCAGUGCCAGUAAAAGCAGAAGCCAGAGAAGCUUGCUUGACCACACUGCCCAGCUGUAAUGAAUGAAUGGAUAACAUCUGAUUGUUAAACAGGGCCACAUUUCCAAAUGGAUCUCCAAGGGCAUGAUGGAGUAGCCAGCAUGGAUUUCCUGCAAUUACUAGACUAUGCUCUACAGAGCAUAAGUGGUUCCUGAAAUACAUAUCCAUUCAAGAUGUGGAUUCUGGGUAUUGUUUUCAGACUAUUCAUAUGUUCACAAGACCAACUUGGAGCCCCUAAGUAGAUUCUGCACUCAUCAAAUUAAAUUUAAGCUUCAAGAGCUAUUUGCUCAGGAUUCUUGUAUCUACCUUCACAUUGGACCAAACCCUGCUUUUGAGAUGCACGCGCUGAAACAUGGAUAUGAAAUAUCUGCAAACUGGGGGGAAGAAAAUUAAAUAAAGCACUUAAAAGAUGUACCAUAUGACCUGUUCUUUACAUCUGGCACAUCUCACACUUCACAGUUGAGAGGACGUGGAAAGACUAAAACUCUUCAUUGCCUCGGUGCAAAGCAUGGACAACUGCAGCCUGAACCACCACAGGCACUACUAGAGAAGGUCUAAGCUCAGAAGAAAACAACCUGUGUGCUGGUGAUGUACAUCUCUGUAUAAGCACCUUCGGAAGAAGUCUAUUUGUGAUUUGAUGGCUUUAUAAUGCUAUUGAUCCAAGACAGAUCUGCUAUUGACUUUCAUUGGAGCUCUGUACAGGGACUAAAUACAGCAUCCAGCCCAAAGUUUGUAAUGGAGAAAACAAAGACUCACGACUCCAGUAUGUUAAUAUUGCACCCAUCCAAACGGCACUGUUCAAAGACAUACAUGCAGUAUAAUUCGACUCACUAAAUUUAGGCUGUAGUUUUACAUUCCUAUCAAUUUCAUCUGAUUUGAAGACACAUAAGAAUGUCUCUUUUUGAAAAAACAAAUCAUUUUGUAUGCUUCUUAGUUAUCUUUUUUAACCUGAAGAUUAACAAAAUGCUGCUCAACACGCUUGGUUUUGGUCAUCGUCUGUGAGAGUAUGUGCCAUUCAGGAAAAGCAGUACAGCUCUGCUUUAGGUAAUUGGCUUAAAUUAAGAAUGUAUGGUAUCUCAUUGCAACACAGUUACAGGUACAUAGAGAUUAAAAUUUUAGAAAUAAAAAGUAGGUAAAUGAGGAAACAAGCUGAAGGUCAAUGGGAGCAUUUUUUAUAGACUAUGAAAGCAUUAAGGAUUGUGACAAAUUUUUUGCAUUUGAGAGUUAGACGAAACAGAGGCAAAACUUGCAUUCUGAUGGGUUUUCACUUAUAACAGUUGGGAAAGGACAUUCUUGUUGGUUUUUAAAACAGUGCCUGUGCCUUUGUUAAAAUAUAUAUGGAGGAAAAAAUGAAAAGGGAUCCCAGCUGUUAAUACACUAGAGUGCUCUGUGAAGCAAAAGUGUGUGUUUUUAGUUUUAUUCACAGCAUGCCUUUAACUUACUCAGUUUGGACAAAGUAGACUAAGAAAACAUUGUCACUGCAGGUCCUGUUACAAGGGUUCUGUUAGUUUCCCUUGCAGAGUGAAGUGUGAUGAUAGGGACAGAUUCACAUCUGUUUAUAAACAACCAUAAAGCCACACUUAUGUGCAAUAAAGAAGUG